GUGGCUGUGACACAGACAUGGUCUUUGUUCUUGAGGAGCCCGGGGCUGUGGGGGACAGAGGUGUCAGCACCUCUGUCAUUAUGACACCAGACAGCGGCCAGUGAGUGUGAGGUUUGGGGUUCAAGGGAAGCCUCCGGGGACCACAGGGGAGGAAGGAAUCCUUUUGACCGGAAGGUUGGUGCGUGAGACGGCGUUCGAGAGGUGCCCUAGCGGAUUCCUGGAGGAAUUUUCCAGGAUCUGCUUGUGGGGAACAUAACCGAUGAUGGUUGGCAUUGCAAACGGUCCCGGGAGGUGGAGUCUCAGGAUGGGCUUGUGGAACGGCAUCACUCACAGGUCAUCUGGGUAAAUUCCAAGGAGCGUGAUGACUGGAUCUCUGAUUUUAUUUCAUCAACAUUAUUGAUCACUCAAGGAGGAGAUGACGGAGAUGCAGCAGCUGGCUAGCGUGCACUGGCAGGGGCGGGAGCACGCCCUGGGAGUGGCCGCGGGGUCCAGUGUGAAGCAGAGUGGACAUGAGGCUGAGUGCGGGGCCCUGUCCCGUGACGCAGGAGCCCUGAGCCCAUCCUAUUAUGCCACAGGGAUGGCUGCUGGAGGCGUGGACAGGAAGACAGUCUACAGUAAAUGAGGUGGAGAUGACAAGACUGCCGAGGCAGAGUCGGGAGGAAGGAACCAAAAGGCUCAGGGAGGUGGAUGCGGUGGGGGGGGACUGCCCCCCCAGCCAAGAGGGUGAAUCAGAAGUGACACCACACAUUAGAAGGGGGAGCAGAGAUCAGAGCCAGCCUCCAAGACUCCCAGGGUGCAGGAGUGGUGGUUCCUCUCAGACCCCCAUUAAGUCACCAAGGGAGCCUUUGCAAAAACCCAGAGGAUCGCGGCAGAGGAUGGUAAAUGACGGCAAAUUUAACUAAGUAGUAGGACCAAUCACAGCUGCUGUGCUGACGUGGUGUCCUAAUAGACAGAGCCACAGCCUCUGGCACCUAGUGUGUGGCCAUCGAUCUGUACAUGUGUUGUUUUCUGUCCCCACCAGAAAGGAGGGUCAGAAGCAGUUCGUAUUCACCAGGGGCUGACAGUCCACGUUCAUCGUCCUAACUCCAGACUGUGUUAACUCUCCUGUUCUCUGUCCCAGCAUAAUCUGAAGGGAUCUUGGUCAUCUGAAUUGAGGUGGAUUUGUAUUGUGGCAACUUAGCUAAGCUGAAACUAGUUUCCCAGACCCCUUCCCUGCAGAGCUCUGGGGUCGUGAGUGCGACUUGGAAGGCAGAAGUGAAGCAGCUGACACAUUCAUUUUACGGAGACAUGGCAGGAGGUGCUAUUGCAGCCCAUGCAUGCUGUCACUUAUCUGCUGACUUACCUUGUUAUGGGACGGAGGCCAGGCCUACGGCUUCUCCGCCUAAGUGCCUGUGUUGCCAAGCACACGUUCAGGGGCUGGGCUGUCUUGACAGGCCUAGUUCCUGUCCUUGCUGGGCAGGACAGGCAAAGCUCUUGCUCUCGUGGAGCUUAUAUCCUCUUGAAGGUCAACGAAGGAGAUAGAAAAUGCUUCAAAGCCAAGUUCUUCAGAGCAGAACCUGCACCGUCAAGCCUGUUCCACACUGCCUUGCAGGACAGUAUGAUCCCACGUGGUGUUCAGAAAUAUUAUCGCUGUCCCAGUCAACCCAGUCUCUCGAUUUCAUCUUCAUCUCUGUCUCUUCUGGUUUGCAUUUGCUACCCUGAGCCUCGAGCAGUGGUUAUCUUGGAGAACCGAACUGGGGAAGGAGGGCUCCCCUGUUUAUUGUGCAUACAACCAGGGCAAAGAGAGACAAUGUAAUGUGCCCAAGGUCACACAGCUGAGAAGUGGCACUUGACCCCCGCCCCCACUUUGCACAUGGC